rnacentral:rRNA from 1 species
CAGUAGCCGCGGUAAUACGAAGGGGGCUAGCGUUAUUCGGAAUUACUGGGCGUAAAGCGUACGUAGGCGGAUUGUUAAGUGAGGGGUGAAAUCCCGAGGCUCAACCUCGGAACUGCCUUUCAUACUGGCAAUCUUGAGUCCGGGAGAGGUGAGUGGAACUCCUAGUGUAGAGGUGAAAUUCGUAGAUAUUAGGAAGAACACCAGUGGCGAAGGCGGCUCACUGGCCCGGAACUGACGCUGAGGUACGAAAGCGUGGGGAGCAAACAGGAUUAGAUACCCGCGUAGUCCCUGUCUCUUAUAC